UACGGAGGGUGCAAGCGUUAAUCGGAAUUACUGGGCGUAAAGCGUGCGCAGGCGGUUUUGUAAGCCCGGUGUGAAAUCCCCGGGCUCAACCUGGGAAUGGCAUUUGGGACUGCAAGGCUGGAGUGCGGCAGAGGAGACUGGAAUUCCUGGUGUAGCAGUGAAAUGCGUAGAUAUCAGGAGGAACACCGAUGGCGAAGGCAGGUCUCUGGGCUGACACUGACGCUCAUGCACGAAAGCGUGGGGAGCAAACAGG
rnacentral:rRNA from 1 species